rnacentral:lncRNA from 1 species
AGCGUAAACCGGGAAGCGGAUCGCGUGGAGUGAAAGUCACCGCAGCGGCUGGAGUGCAAUGGCGAGAUCUCAGCUCACUGCAACUGCUGUCUCCCGGGUUCAAGCAAUUGUCCUGCCUCAGCCUCCUGAAUAGCUGGGAUUACAGGUGCCCACCACCACUACCAGGAGAUGGACAAACCAUGUGGGUGCCCUCCAGGUGUGUGCGACCAUGAAAUGGGAGACUAGCAGGACCCACGUUGGCCAACCGUGGACCUGGUCCCUCCAGUAGGAGUCGUGAGCCAGCUGAAUUUGAAUGCAAAGAUGGAGCAAGGGCCGACUGGAGUCACACUGACAUCCACCCCCAUAACAUGGGGACAGAUCAAGAAAACAAAGCAGGAAGCUGAGAAAAUGCUGGAGCAUCCAUGUGCUUGGCCAUGUUAGCAGUAGUGUCCUGUGAGGAUUGAUUUCCAAAAACUCCUGUUACAUGAGGAAGACACCAAGAAGAGCAAAGAAAAGGAGCCAGGGUGGCUCUUCCUCAGCUAUCUCUUCCAAAUGCAUGACAAGGAAGUUCUCAUCAAGAAGGCAAGGCAAUACAGAAGUGUUCCACACAGGGACAUUGC